UAAUUUUAGAGAUCACAGCAGUGAAUAAGACAAAUAAAUUGUCCGUCAUUAUGGAGCUUCUAUUCUAAUGGAGAAGGGAUAAGCAAGGAAACAAUGAAGCAUAAAAAGGGAAAUUGAAAACAAAAAAGAACUGAGCCAAAUGGAAGCACGAGGAAGAGUGGAGAGACGUCACAUGGGAAGAGCCUCAGGUUCUCAUAGGAGUGGGAGCUCGGUGUCUGUGGAGGAGGUGGCAACAGGCAGUUCCCGCCCUCUGGGAAGGAGCAAAGAAGUGGGGAAGGCAAGAAAGACACUGGAGAAAGCAUGUCCUGAUAGAUCUGAGAAGAAUAGAAAAUUUGGAGCGGCCCAAGUGGUAAACAAGAAAUGAAGCUGUCCAGCUAUGCUGGACCAUGGAGGAAUCGCGAAUGGAAGGAGGGUGAAGAGCCACUUAUGGAGAUGGGAGAGAAGUCAGGAUUUACAUUCAAGACUUGGCUUCAUUGGCCCCUCUUCCAGUCUCAUCUCUUGGGGUUGAAGUCCCCUCUAUAUCCACCAUGUGUAACUGACUUGAAAGGCAGAAGUGUGCCUAGAAGAAAAGCUUCUAUAAGAAGAUCCCAGCAUUUCAUCUCGACAGUCUUCAGCUCUGCCCCAAGUUAACCCUGAAACAAGAAAUCAGACUUAGGGGAGCAUUUAUUUCAAGGUUUCAUAAUCUCAUGACAGCAGCUGGUGGUACAAAGUGUGGAGUCUACUGGAUCUGAUUAUAUACCAGAUGGUUCUGUUUUCAAAUUUACUCCAAAUGUUCAGAUGCUUUUUCACUAAAUUCAUAUUUCCCAUCUGAUGUUACCCCCUGGGGCUGAACUUUAAUCUGGGUUGUAGUUUGUAAGGUUUUUGUUACUCUUUUUGAUCUUCCAAUAGAAAGAGAAUUCCCAAACACCACCAUGCAUCCACAGGGUCUGAACAAUGACUAUACAUGAAUGAAUACAGCAGGAUUGUUCUCUGAGGCAGGUCUUGCCUCCAUCAUACCUCCUGCCAGAAGUGGACUCAGAUAUGCCCUAUUUGGAGAAGCCUCGAAACCCAGCUCCAAUGACCUUGAGAUCUGAACAACGUGUUCCUUUCCCCAGGCAGCAUAUGU